GGGGAUAUAGCUCAGUUGGUAGAGUGCUUGCCUUGCAUGCAUUAAGCCCUGGGUUCAAACCUCAGCACCACCA
rfam:Ictidomys tridecemlineatus contig039540, whole genome shotgun sequence.